rnacentral:lncRNA from 1 species
GUAUAUAUACAUUCUCAGCAUGGCUAUGAUCUGUUCUGUUCUGUUCUGGCCUCGCCAAUGGGGAUUAUAUGUUGGCCCUGUCGACUUGUAAUCUGUGAGGAACCGGUUUCGACACCGUACCACCGGUGAUUAGAAUAGUGGUAUUUGGACACCGUACCACCGGUGCUUAAUAAUAGUGGUGUUUGGCACCUUGUGCAACCCAUGCCACUGGGUUACGUGGCCGUAGCCUAUCAUGUUGAGAUUCUG